rnacentral:rRNA from 1 species
GCAAUCGAAAGGGUUAUUAAUAUUUCAUAGGUUUAAGACUUAAAUUAAAGGGGGCGUUCCUUCGGGAGCCCCGCGCGUAAAUAGGAAUAUGUCCUAUUAGGUUGUUGGUAGGGUAAAUGCCUACCAAGCCGUUGAUGGGUAGCUGGGCUGAGAGGCCGACCAGCCGCAAUGGGAUUGAAAUAUGGCCCAUAUUCCUACGGGAAGCAGCAGUGAGGAAUUUUUCACAAUGGACGAAAGUCUGAUGGAGCAAUACCACGUGAACGAUGAAGAUCUUCUGAUUGUAAAGUUCUUUUAUUUAGGAAAAAAAGCUUGAUAGGAAAUGAUUAAGCCUUGAUCGUACUAAAUGAAUAAGUGACAGCUAACUAUGUGCCAGCAGCUGCGGUAAAACAUAGGUCACGAGCAUUAUCCGGAUUUAUUGGGCGUAAAGGAAGCGUAGGCGGACAAGUUGAUCUAUUGUGAAAAGCACUUGCUCAACAAGUUGUUUGUGAUAGAUAUCACUUGUCUAGAAUUAGUUAGGAGAUACUGGAAUUCAAUGUGUAGCGGUGGAAUGCGUAGAUAUAUUGAGGAACACCAGAGGCUAAGGCGAGUAUCUAGAACGUUUGUUUGGC